rnacentral:tRNA from 1 species
GGCAAGGGGUGUCCACUAGUUAGGAUGCCAGUCUAGAACUCUGGACACCUGGGUUCAAUUCCCUGCUCUGUCA